UGGCCCGAAUAUACAUUUGUCAGGAGCGUGACCCGAACAAUUCUCACACAAUUUGUGCUCGCGAAUUAAGUUUAACCCUGAAUCUAAAUCACUGCUAUUAAUGAAUUUUUGACAAGAAUAAAGUGGAUGAUUAGCGUUACAUUUUAAACACGACUUUUUAUAACAAGACGAGCUGACAUCGUUGGAUUUAAUUAUGUGUGGAAACAUUGCAGUGUGAUAUUGUGUUGUGAAGCUAAUCAAUUCGUCGACUUUAAUACAUUUUUUUUAUUGCUUAGACGCUGGUAUUGAAGAGUGCUAGUCAAGGUAUCUGAUGAGUCCGGCGUAUGGGAGACCUACAAGAAGUUGUCUUUAGAGACAUCUUUAUAGAUAUUAGGAAAUAAUUUACCCCGUGCGGGUUGAUACUCCGUAAACGAAUGGUCUGAGUGUUCGGAAUUUUAAUAAACGUCAUUGUUACGCCAAUAAAUUUAGCUUAUAUGUGAGUCGUCUAUUAUCAAAGGUGGCAAUCUGUGCAUUUGGACAAAAAAAUGUUAUUGAUAUGUCAAUACAGAUUGAUUUGAAUAUAAUCGUCUCCUUCAAAGAAUACGGUACAAAACCUGCAUUAAAUAAAGGUUAAUAGUUAACCUGUUAUUUAUCUAAGAUGUGGUUCCGAAGAGUUUUGUGACUGCCAAUGGAAUACAAAGUCAAUAAUUUGUUUUUCUGAUUUACCAAUAAUUGUCCAAAAGUCAGAUUGCCGGCUUUGAUAAUAGUCGACUCAUGUACUGUAAUGAUUGUAAUUUGUUUUGUGCAUCAAUAAAUAAUAUUUUUUUUUUUUUAUUAACAA